AUUGCCUCAGAUAACGGCGAGUAGAAGCGGCAAGAGCUCAAAUUUGAAAUCUGGCCCCCUCGGGGUCCGAGUUGUAAUUUGCAGAGGAUGCUUCGGGUGCGGCCCCCGUCUAAGUGCCCUGGAACGGGCCGUCAUAGAGGGUGAGAAUCCCGUCUGGGACGGGGUGUCCGCGUCCGUGUGAAGCUCCUUCGACGAGUCGAGUUGUUUGGGAAUGCAGCUCUAAAUGGGUGGUAAAUUUCAUCUAAAGCUAAAUACUGGCCGGAGACCGAUAGCGCACAAGUAGAGUGAUCGAAAGAUGAAAAGCACUUUGAAAAGAGAGUUAAAAAGCACGUGAAAUUGUUGAAAGGGAAGCGCUUGCGACCAGACUCGCCCGCGGGGUUCAGCCGGCAUUCGUGCCGGUGUACUUCCCCGCGGGCGGGCCAGCGUCGGUUUGGGCGGCCGGUCAAAGGCCCCCGGAAUGUAGCACCCUUCGGGGUGCCUUAUAGCCGGGGGUGCAAUGCGGCCAGCCUGGACCGAGGAACGCGCUUCGGCACGGACGCUGGCAUAAUGGUCGUAAACGACCCGUCUUGAAACACGGACCAAGGAGUCUAACAUCUACGCGAGUGUUCGGGUGUCAAACCCGUGCGCGCAGUGAAAGCGAACGGAGGUGGGAGCCCCCCCGCGGGGCGCACCAUCGACCGAUCCUGAUGUCUUCGGAUGGAUUUGAGUAAGAGCGUAAAUGUGGGGACCCGAAAGAUGGUGAACUAUGCCUGAAUAGGGCGAAGCCAGAGGAAACUCUGGUGGAGGCUCGCAGCGGUUCUGACGUGCAAAUCGAUCGUCAAAUUUGGGUAUAGGGGCGAAAGACUAAUCGAACCAUCUGGUAGCUGGUUCCUGCCGAA
rnacentral:rRNA from 1 species